AUGGCAGUUGAAUUUUGUUGUAAACGCAACCAUGGCGACCCAUGUGAGGCGAGGCAUGGCGAUGCAGCCCGGUCAACGCGGAUGGGCUCGAUGCAGAGGGGGCGUCGGCUCCAGGUGAUGCAGCGAAACGACAGGAUCGGGUGCAGCUGUUCGAGUUGGGUGGGAUCCGUGGCAGGAGGCAGGUUCGGGCGGCAGAGGGCUGAAUCCGGUCGAUGGGGCGACCUGCAGGUGAGCGGCGGCAGCGGCUUGGGAUGGUGGCGAAGCUGCAUCUCGGGCGGCGCCAUGGCUCCCUGUGCAGAGAAAACGAGACGAGGGGGAGGUCAGGGAGGAGUAGCAGGAGGAGGGAAGGAAAAUAAGGCGGUGGAGAAGGCCUUGCUCCCCUGA
rnacentral:rRNA from 1 species